CUGUAUGACAAUGAAGUCAACGCUUCAAUUCAAAUUGACUGGAACAAGAGCUAAGGGAUCCCUCUUUGAAUUGGGUCCACUUUUCAAGCCGAUAUUGGAAAAGUGAGAUCUCUGGAACCUGAGAUUGAUACCCGUGAGCUUGAUGGAAAAAUACUACAGUGGAUGAAACCCACUGUGAAGGACAUUCUCUCCCAUGUGGAUCUAUCAGAAGCUGAAGAUUUGAACCUUGAUCGUGAUGCAGACAGUGAUCAGGAGACAGACACUGAAUAAAUCCUUUCCUUGAUGUAGAUAAUGUAAUGCUUAUACUUAUAUUGUAAGAUACAGUCGGGAUACCCUCCAAACCAGUAUCAUGUUAUAAACAUGGAGGAAAAUAAAUAUUGAAUCAACUUU